UUAAAGAAAGCGUAACAGCUCACUCAUCAAGCGACCCUGCGCCGAAAAUGUAACGGGGCUUAAGAUACGUACCGAAGCUAUGGACUUUUUAAAGUGGUAGGAGAGCAUUGUGUUUACCGAUGAAGGCGUACCGAUAAGGAGCGCUGGAGGUCCCACAAGAGCUGAUGCUAGAAUGAGUAGCGAUAAGAAGUGUGAGAAUCACUUCCGCCGAAAAUCUAAGGGUUCCUGGGCCAGGUGACUCCGCCCAGGGUUAGUCGGAUCCUAAGGUGAGGCCGAAAGGCGUAAUCGAUGGAU
rnacentral:rRNA from 1 species